GAUGAAGAACGCAGCGAAAUGCGAUAAGUAAUGUGAAUUGCAGAAUUCCGUGAAUCAUCGAAUCUUUGAACGCACAUUGCGCCCCCUGGUAUUCCGGGGGGCAUGCCUGUCCGAGCGUCAUUGCAACCUUCAAGCGCGGCUUGUGUGUUGGGUCUCGUCCCCCGUGGACGGGCCCGAAAGGCAGUGGCGGCGUCCCGACAUGGUGCCCGAGCGUAUGGUAAUCCUCUUCCGCUCGAAUCGGCCCAUGCGGCGCUGGUCGUAACCAAAUUUUUUACCGGUUGACCUCGGAUCAGGUAGGGAUACCCGCUGAACUUAAGCAUAUCAAUAAGCGGAGGA
rnacentral:misc_RNA from 1 species